AAAAAUUGCAACGUCUCGUUCGACGAACAUAACGUUGAUCUAUCCCGGAAACGAAGCGAAGGAUCUUCGCCGAUUUCGAUGUAUCGCACUGAUUUUCGAUGUUAACGGGAACAACGAGGCAGAUUACCCGAGACACGGUAGGCAGCGAAAAUAUUCGUAACCCCUAUGCAACGUUAAUAAAACGGGUUUAUGCUCGCCCACAUAAAACCGCGUCUACAGCGAGCGUGCCCGUACCGAAAAUUAGAGGUGUAAGAGACCGACAAUGGUCGGAUACGGGAUCGGCGAAUGCUUCGCUGCCUAUUGUGCUCGCUCACGGGAAGUUCGGGAAGGAUGCGAGAAGAAUGAGAGAAAGGGAGAGAGAGCGAGAGAAAAAAUAUUGAGAACGCACCCUUUGCUUUGGCUUUCAGAUCGAGAUCGACGGGGAAGGGCUCUGCGUUAGCGGUGACGGUGACGGUGACGGAGGGCGCCGGGGUCGACGGAUGGCAGAUAAUAGCAGCGGUUGCGGGGCUAUCAUUCGGCAGGACGGUGGCGGAUGGAGCGGUGGUCGCGGCCGGGACGACGCCGUUGCCGUUGCCGUUGGCAUUGACAUUGUUGAUGUUGGUAUUGCCGUCGACGGUGGUCACGAUAGCCGUGUUCGGUGCAGUCGCUGUUGCGACGGUCCCGGUGCCCGUUGACGUCGACGAGGCCGGCACCGACGCCGACGACAACUGCUGAUAACCGCAGCAUUCCUUCGCCUCUUCCUUCACCUUGACCUUGUGGAGGAUCGUCGUGGUCGCCACUCCGCCCUCCACUUUCAUGCUCGGCAACCUUCUUGCCUGUUCAACACAUUGCAGUCAGUCAUUCGACAGUCCUUUGCUGGAGAUGCCGCAGACCUGGACCACGUGGAAAGAUACCGAUACACGAUUAUGCUAGGCGGAGAAACGAGUUCUUGCCGGUUCGACGCAUUCCGCUCGGUCGUUCCACGGUCAAAUCCAAGAUCCCGCAGACCUGGAUCACGUGGAAACAUACCGAGACGAGAUUAUACUGGGUGGAGAAACGAGUUCUUGCUAGUUCGACGCAUUCCAGACGGUCGUUCCAUGGUCGAUUCUAAGGCAAAUUAAUCAACUAUCACCGUUAUCUCACGAUUCUAAAGCAACUCGCAUUUUUGUAGAAUCUGCAGACC